rnacentral:rRNA from 1 species
GACGAACGCUGGCGGCGUGCCUAAUACAUGCAAGUAGAACGCUGAAGAGAGGAGCUUGCUCUUCUUGGAUGAGUUGCGAACGGGUGAGUAACGCGUAGGUAACCUGCCUUGUAGCGGGGGAUAACUAUUGGAAACGAUAGCUAAUACCGCAUAACAAUGGAUGACACAUGUCAUUUAUUUGAAAGGGGCAAUUGCUCCACUACAAGAUGGACCUGCGUUGUAUUAGCUAGUAGGUGAGGUAACGGCUCACCUAGGCGACGAUACAUAGCCGACCUGAGAGGGUGAUCGGCCACACUGGGACUGAGACACGGCCCAGACUCCUACGGGAGGCAGCAGUAGGGAAUCUUCGGCAGUGGGGGCAACCCUGACCGAGCAACGCCGCGUGAGUGAAGAAGGUUUUCGGAUCGUAAAGCUCUGUUGUAAGUCAAGAACGAGUGUGAGAGUGGAAAGUUCACACUGUGACG